AAUUUCAGCGUUGCAGUUUGUUGAUAUAGUAUGGAAAAUGUUCACAUACAUUGCUUCAGCAUACAUUGUUCAUCUUGACGCAUGAUCAUAAUUCAACUGGGUACGACUAACUAGAUAUAAUGGCUAGCAAAUGGAAUCCAACACAUGUGGCCAAUGGAGAAGAAUAUUCACAGGCACAAUCGCGUAAGGAAAUAUCAAAAUCAACCCUAGCGCAACGUGCACGAUGAGAACGAGAACAAUUUCUAAAGCAAAGCACUACAGUUAGUGGAAACGAAAACAUACAGGUAUACACGUUGACUCCUAUCUUCUAUCUUCCAUUUGCAAAAUAGAUAUUAUACACUUUCUUUAGCCAAAAGUCGGUAAAAAAAUAUCAAAAUCAUCAAUGGCACAAAGUGCGCGACGGGAACGAGAGCGGAUCCUG